UUGUUUGCUAAACUGAACUCUAAUAACAUUCAUAUUAUUUAGAAUUAGUCUAUACAUUAUCUUUGAUAUCUUCUUUUUGUUCAUGUUAUUAUUGUGAUUUUUUUGGUCUAAGAGUUAGAUUGAUCAGCUGAACGUUAAAGACCUAGGGCUAAUUAUUUUGUUCCUUUUUUCUCUAAAAAUAUUUAGUGCACUUAUUUAUUCUUUUAGAUUUCUUAUGCAUCGUAACAAAUCCAUUUGUUAUGUAUACUCAAGUAUAGGCUAAAUCACCGCUUAGCGACCCCGGGCAGCCACCCGAGCUCAUCAGCGAAGUGCAAAGGGAUUUUUUAUUUUGUAUAAAAAAGAAACACAAUAAUUUUUUUAGAUAAAUACUUCUACAUAAUAAGAAACAUAUAGGCAUGUAAAAGUUUUUAGCUCCACCAGUAUAUACAUUAUGGCCUUGUAUGUAUCUCCUCGGACAUGAUCGUUGGUUAUCCUUGUUUGAAUGACCCACUAUGUCUAGAUCCUGGCUCCACCCCUGUCUAUCAAUAAGUAUUACAUUAUGCUCGCUCCACCAGUAUUCAACCCUUUAAUUGGGAACGCGGGGCUGAACAACCAGCUAGGCCACGUCGCCCUAAAUCUCUUCGACCGUUCGAUUCCGUGAUCAACGCUCCAAAAUCACUCCUCAGCUAUCUUUAGUCCCCCCGACCCCGUAAGAAAAUCUCCCCCUCUCCUCUUUCUCCCCGUCUCUUCCCUUCCCCUCCCUCUCUCUUUCUCCCGACCUCUCCAGAAAUAGGCAGGGCGGCGGCGCCGCCAGCCAUGGCCGGUGCCUGUCCCCCGGCACGGCGGCGACCCUCCUCCUCUCCACCAUCCUCUAUGCAGGAUCCUCUCCCCCUCUCCCUCUCUAAUCUCCGGUUUCGCUCCUUCUCCCGCUCUCCUCGCGCAGGUUGGGCGACCAUGACGGCGGUGGUGCUCCGCGCGGCGGUGACCGGUGCUCGGCACGGAGGCUGCCGCCCUACUCCUUCCCUCCCUCUCUCCCGGCCCCCUCCCUCCCUUCCUCCCUCCCUCCCCCUCGCAUGGUAUCUGUUGCAAAACCCUAUCUGCCAUUUGAGCGCGUUUCCGAGCGUCCACGCCAUCCACAUCUCCCUUCCUUGUCUAAUGCUUCAUAUCUUCCUGAUGCUUUGGUUAACUCUAAGAAGCAAUGAGAUUAGAUUUCGAGAUGCAGGUUCUAGCCUUUAAAAUACGGAAAAAAAAAAUCCUCCGAUGGUGCACAGGAAAUUUUUUUUCUAGCGAUGGAGCACAAUUUCAUAGCAGCAAAGUGAAGACCUGAAACGCAAGUGCUUUUUGUGUUAUAGCAGAUAAAGAAAAACUGAAGAGAGUUUCGAACCUGCCAAAUUUCUCCUUGCUCCUCCUGCCCUCCUUACGUUAGUAUUAUUUCUUUGUCCCUACUAGCAUAUUUGUAUUUUUUUAUUUGUGUAAACAAAUUGAAGGGAUUUGUUUUGAAGAUGUUAUAUAUAAUUAAAACUGGGUUUAUCAAUUUGAUUAGCAGCAGGAUAUUUACCAAAAAAAGGAAUAUAUACUAUUUGUUCUAUGUCUAGAGAAAACUGCCAAUGUUUUAUGGAAGGGAUAUAUUUUAAUUAAUUCAUUUAGGGCUAUUUUUGAAUCAGUGAUUACUCUAUGACCUUAAGUAGUUUGGGCCUUUGGGGCUAAAGCAAAUUUAGGGCUGGAUGAUUUCCCAGUAUACAUGUUGCAUGCUACGUUCAUUCUGGUUGCACUAGGCUAUCUGAAGGUUCGACCUACGAUAAGCUAACUGAGAAAAUGCUACCCAGUAUGCGUCAUUGGUAUAUAAUCUUCCUGAUUAGACUAACUCAUCCUCCAAAUUCAUUGUCUGCUUUGGGGUUUAUGCAACAACAACUGAUGAUUUAGGAGAUCUUCUCUAAAUAAUAUUAGUUAGCCUUUGCUAUCUUGUUUGUUAAUAACAUAUUUUGAAUUUUAUCUUUAGGAACUACAUUGCAUCAAUAUCUUUAGAGGUACUAAUGUAGGAUUUUAACUACAUAAUGUGAUUUUCAUGCAGGCUACUAUUGCUUCAUGAAUCUCCAAAGGUGGAAAAAUCCUUCUAUCAGAAUAUGUAAAAACAGGUAUGUGCAUUAUCACUUAAAUGCGGUAUAAGAACAGGUAUGUGCAUUAUCACUUAAAUGCACUAAACAGGCAUGUGCAUUAUUACAGAACAGCUGGAUUGUUGGUGCUCCCUCCCUCUCUCUCCCUUACCCCCUCUCACCCUCUCUCCUUGGAGCUUCACCUUUGGCCAUGAACCGAUUUUUUUCAAGUAUUUUCUCAAACCAGCCACAUUUGGCCGCCAACCAUGAGCUAAUUUGUGUUUUGCUAUUUUUAGAUAAAAAUGAUUCCAGGUUUACACACAAAAAAUGGAUACCUCAUUUAUUUUUGUGCACCCAAAGUGAUUCAAUGUUUAGCAAAAUGAAAUUUGGGGGUGGUUGAUGGAGGUUCGGCUCGCAUCUCUUUUUUUUGGCUAUGUCAUCUGCUACGUGCAGGCUUCCUUUUUCACAAGUCUCAUUUCCAACCUUAUUUGUAUAUUGUCAGGUUUGUGCUUUUUUGUAAUCAUUUGCUUAUUUUUAGAUGAUAAACCAUAGUUUAUGCAUUUUAAAUAAAGCAUAACACGGCAUCUGUUUCCCUAUUCAUUGUCGUCAAUUUUGACAUCACCUGUUUUUUCCCUAUGCUCAACAAUGACAUAUGAAAGGAGCCUAAUAUAUUCUGGUUAUAUCUUGAGGCCAUGGGUAUUGAAGAAAUGUAUGUACUGCACAAAAACAAUUAAUAGGUGUCCUCUGUAUACUUACUCUAAGCAUAUGUGGUAAUGAGAGAAAGGAGAAAGUGGGCCUACCUCUCUACCCAGAUUGUUGCCAUCAGAAGGUUUUUUAUGAAAGAUAUUUGUGUUGACAUUGUCCACAUGUUUUUAAAAUUUCACUGUGCCUAAUAUAUUUAUGAGACCUGUUUUUCUUUUCAUCCUUAUGAGUUCUGAUUUUGAACUGCUCAAAGCUGGAGUUUUCGGAUCAUGCUCUUUCCAUUCUAAAUUUUCUUCCCUCCAUGGUACAGUCAAUAGGUCUGGACCCAUAAAAUUCUCUUGGUUUUGACAUCGAUGAUGGAGAAAUAAUGGGAGGAAAGACAACAACAUGUGACCAUUGAUGAUACUUGACAAGACUAACCUAAAGACAUUGGAGAUUACAAAGGAAGAACUUUUUGCAAGUCUCAAAGGUGUUUAUCAUGGUUCUGUUUACACAGGUUUGUUUUUAAUUUACACCUGCCCAUUUUACCUUUGAUAUGUCAAGCUAUAGUUCACUUCAAAACUUUAUAUUAGUUUGCUUGUUUUGGUGUCAUUCAUAUAUGUAUGCAUUUCCUCCGGUGCUAUCUUGCCUAUUCAAAACUGCCUUAGCAUCUGUUUAUAUGUGCUCCUAGCAACCUUACAAAUCAGAGUUGUUCUAAAUUAUAUUUUUAGUAUAGUGUGAUCCUCGGUAGCAAUGUACGUUGUGUGCACAAUCCAUUUCACUUGCUCAUACUUGCAUAGGAUCAUAUACCUACGACACACCUACAACUAAGACUACACCAUACUUUCAUCAACUUUUUAACAAAUAGAUUUUGCAGCUAGAGAUUAAUCGAACAACUCAAUUACAAACACGAAAACCAACUUAUGUAUCUAAAUAUACGUAUAUAAAAAUUCCAGCUUUAUCUUCACGGCUCUAUAGCUCUAACACAUUUGUACUGAAUAAAUAAUUCUAUCAGACUGGCAACCAUAUGCACCAUGAACAGGUAACAAAACAACUAUCAGAUCUCAUACGUCCAUAAACUAAAAAAACAAAUUUCGUACUACUUGCGAAAGCCUUACAUGAUUUAAUUCUUAAACAGAUCUGUCUACCUGCGACACGGUCUCUUUAACCAUCAAUUUCUGAAGAGACCAUCAAGCGCAUCCAGCUGUGCAAGAUCUAGGACAAACAACUGUACAAUAUAUCCCAAGGUAUAUACUGUUACAUGCUGUAAUAUAAGCCAUCUAUCAUGUCUACCCUAUGUAUAUGACCAUCAGCUGUUGUACGCCAUAAACCACCAACAUCACUGCUGUAUGCCUUAAACUCUAUGUUUCGACAAGAUUGUAAAUAUAUAUGGAUCAAGGCAUUUUUCUUGUGCAAA